UCCACGCCGUAAACGAUGAUAACUCGUUGUUGGCGAUACACAGUCAGCGACUAAGGGAAACCGAUAAGUUAUCCACCUGGGGAGUACGGUCGCAAGAUUGAAACUCAGAGGAAUUGACGGGGGCCCGCACAAGCGGUGGAGCAUGUGGUUUAAUUCGAUGAUACGCGAGGAACCUUACCCGGGCUCAAAUGCUGGACGACAGUCCCUGAAAGGGGAUCUCCCGGGCGUAGCGG
rnacentral:rRNA from 1 species